rnacentral:rRNA from 1 species
UACGUAGGUUGCGAGCGUUGUCCGGAUUUACUGGGCGUAAAGCGCGCGCAGGCGGUUCCGAAAGUCCAUGGUGAAAGCUCCCGGCUCAACUGGGAGAGGCCCGUGGAAACUUCGGGACUUGAAGGCGGGAGAGGCAAAUGGAAUUCCCGGUGUAGCGGUAAAAUGCGUAGAUACCGGGAGGAACACCAGUGGCGAAGGCGAUUUGCUGGCCCGCUCUUGACGCUCAGGCGCGAAAGCUAGGGGAGCGACC